AUUUUCUGGAAAUUAAUAUUUCAGCAUGAUAGUGCAAGAAAAAGUGUGCAGGUUCUAGAGGCUGAGCUUCCAGCUGAAAUGCAAGUUGGUGAACUUGGCCACCUUCCAGAAAAGUGAUGUGUUGUUCGAGCAAGUCAUUAGAUGUCUGCACUUCUGUCUUCUGACCAAUUUACAGUACUGAAAGUUUUGGGCCGGAGGUUUUCCUGUGCUCUCCGUAGCUGUUGCCCAGUGCUGCCCUGAGGAAAAGCAGCGUUGGGAAGGCAGGUGCUGCCCUGAGGAGCAGUGCUGGGAAGGCUGCUGCCCCUUUUCCUGCGGGGUGUCAGGGCGAGGCUCCUCACAAGGCCUGCAGUG
rnacentral:lncRNA from 1 species